GCCCCUCCCCCACCCAGACGCAGCUGGGCAGGGGAGAGGUCAGACUCCACUCACUGCCGGAUCCAAAGGAGGAAGUUUUUUGGGAAUCUUCUGCUUUUAACCCCUGUGUGUUCUCAGAGGCGUAUUCAGAUCUUCAGUGGCCACCACAGGGCACCCAUUGCAGACAAGCAUGCGAGGACUUCCCAAGUGCAUGGGAAGGUUCUGGGGAAGAGUUACCAGGAACAAGAUCCAUGCAGGAGCAAGAAUAAUCCAUUACUGACUUUUAUUUGAUUGGAAUUUUCUUUUGAUGCACUAAAGUAUCCCUCGGUGAGAUCCUCGGGCUAUGCAAAAUCCUCUUGACUCUUCCUGACCGGUUCUGCAGUUUUGUGAGUGAUUUAUACUUGCUGUAGAGCUUUAUUAGCUUGCACGGAAAAGAAAGUAAGACAGUUAUGUGAGGAGGGCUGAGGAAACAAUUUUAAUAGUGAAGAUAAUACAAGAACAAUGGGAUCCCCAAGUGCAAAGAAUGGAGCCAAAGUGGCCAUAGACCACGGCAUCAAGAACGCAUGUCAAAAUGGAAAGCUCCUUUUCCAAUGCUAGCUAAAGCUUCCUGAAAAACACCUGUGAGUGGAUUCAGUUUAGAACUAGACAACAGGUGUGUUCUGUAUCACUCUUUUGUUUUUGGGGGCUUUUUCUUCACUUUAUUUUUUAACACAGUGAUGUAUAAAUCAAGUCAAAUUAAAGCAAGUACCACACACGCUCUCACAUCAUGACAGCACCAGAAGAUUCCUUUCCAGUUUAAGCAGAGAAAAACAAAUAUUCAUUGCCAGAGGCAGCUGUGUAUAGUCAUCACAAGCUACAUUUCUUCCUUGAAAGUGGAGGGAUCUCAGUUUAUGAGUUCUAGAAUCCCAUGUGAUAGCUGGUUCCAAGUUUUGAGGUACAAGAGAAAACCAUUUUGAAAUUGCAAUAUUGUCAAAAUGCAACUGACCUCUAGAGACACCUAUUCAUGACGAUUCUUGGGAAGAGUGCAGUAAAUGUUGUUUGAAUAUAUUUUUCUGCAUUUAUUUGUUCAUUUUUUAAAGGAAAGUGUAUUAUAACAGCUUAAAUAUUAUCAUAGUAAUUAUUUAAAUGUCUUCCAAAUCAUCCAAAACCAAAAGAGUAAAACUUUUGAAAGGGUACAACUUCAUGAUCAGAUGUUGGAAGCUAAAGGAAUUUCUAGCUUCUAGAUACUCCUAUUUAAAGGCUUCCUAGCUUCCUAAUUAAAGGCUUCCAUUUAUUUCUGAAUUAAAGAGUCUCUGUGUGUUUGACUUAAAAACUGAGAAAUGGCAUCAGGAUUUGUCCUGUUGCAGUAACUGCUGGAGGUGAGACAAAGUAAGGUCUCCAGUUGUCCCUUUAGGCAUUUGACUGUCAAUACAGCAAACUGGAAAGGAAAAACACUAAUGACGAAACAGAAAAAGAAAGGGAAACACUGUUUGCAUGUGAACUCUGCGCAAAAUACUUUAUGGAGUUUAAAGCCCAAUAUUCAGCUUAUUUAAACCAGCAUUACCGCGUUAAAAGUCAAAGCAGCCCUGCCAAUUAGCUAAGGAUAUGGUGAUUAGCUAUUUGCAUUGCUUGGAAAAGAACAGGAAAAAAAUCUUGAUAUUUUAAAAAUCCUUUAACAAAAUUAAGCAACAUUUUACUAUACCUCGCGCAUGUGAUUCUUAGAAAUGUGAUGAAAAUAACCCUUUGGAAAGUAAACCCAGAAAAUUUAUUUCUGAAUGUUAUCUGACAGUGUUUUUCAUUAGUAAACAAAGUUUAGUUCAAUAUCAAAUUAUCCAUUUUAUAAGAAGCAGAAUUCAAAUUUCUGCUUUUCUCAUUAAAAAGGGGAUGUUCCCCUUAGAUUAAAAGGAAGGUGGAGUAUAUCAAAAUCUCUUCCAAUUCAGUUUCAGUCCUUCCCCUACAGUGUCCCAAUUCUCAGUUCAGACUUAUUUCUAUAUUUAUUUUAGAAGUCACUCUUCCAGGAUUUCAUGAUGUCUUUAACACAUGGAUAGAGAAUGGUGUUUGGUGCCAGGAAUGCAGUGCAGAAAAAAAAUUAGAAGAACACAAAACCCAGAGAAAACAAGCAAACAAAUGAACCAAAACACUGGGCUUCGAAAAUAAGCAACCACAGUGGGGUUCCACUGCAACUGAUUAUGUAAUAACCUCUUUUCUUCCCCCAGAAGGUAAUGCAGAGUUGUGAAGUUCAAAUGUAAUACAGACAAUCUUCUAUGUUAGAGUGGAAACCAAGUGACAAGCUACUUAUAAUGCCAGCCUGUUUCUGAUACUUUGAGAGAAACAAGGAUAUUGCAUGUUGAGGGUCAAUUUUAGUUUUAUUCAGUUCUAGGAAUAGAAAGGCUUUGCCUUGCUCCCAGUGUGCACACAACAAAGGUUAAGCCCUUCCCAUACACUGAGUUUACUUUAGCUGUAAAUUAUAUACUGUCACACAGGAGCCUGGGAUGUCUUCUGUAAGUGAAGAUCUGCCAAACUGGUUUAUAGAGAAGAAAGGGCUCUUCUUUAAUCUUUUCUUCACUAUUUCUCAUGGAUCAAAUUCUUCCAGCUUCUUCCACUUCACGGUGCCUUACUCUCAAGAGCGACCCUACUGAAGGACAUGGUAUUAUGCAAUUUGAAGAAGAUCUGUCAACUCUCACCAGGUUUUCACCAUGAAGGUUGGACUGAGUCAAAAAUUUGGUACAAAUUUCAACCUGUGCUUUCUCCAUCAUGAAGGUGGUUUGGAUGGUAACUAGAGUCAGAGAUGGGGAUCAGUACCUACCCACAGAACCAUCAGGCAAGUUUUGGUACUCAACAUUCAGUAUGUGGUUUUCUGUGAAUCAGUAUUUAAUGAAGAGUACCCUGAACCUUUCUGAAUAAAAUUACAGAAGACUAUUCAGCCACAGUUUGUCUCUUAACUGGUCUUGGAACAGGUAUUUUUGAUAACUGAAGAACUGUGCCAAUUUCAGCUUCUUUCUGCUGACAUGUUGAGAUUGUCACGACUAUGGAAUGUAAUAUAAUGACAUAUUAGUAAUUUGGAAUUCCAUGGAAUAGAGGUAAAAUGUGCAAUGGUUACUCUACUCUUGAUCUAAAAUAGAUAUGAACAAAGUUUUCAGGAUGGAUAAUUCUGUUCAAAAUCAAUCAGAUCAACUACCAAUUUGUAAAUAAAUUACUUUCUAUUAAGACACAGCUUAAGAAAGCAGCUUUCUGUGACUGGAGAGUCUAGUAUAAAGAUUUUAAAGCUUCUGCUUCUUUUCACUAACAUCAUGUCUUUCUGGGGACAAAUGUUUAGGCAAUUACUGUAAUUAUGAUAAG